rnacentral:piRNA from 1 species
UGGCACACGGUAUACCACUGGUUCUGGUGU